GCAAGAAGAGCCUCCAGCACCUUUGGCCCCCGGUCGUACGGUAUCCUCGUACACCAUCGGCAGCGUGUGCCAUCCUGUGGUGCAGGGCCAUCGGGGCGCCACCGGCCCGUUCGAUAUGUCGGAGCAUCGGGCAGCAUCGACACCUUGGUGCAUCGGAUGUGCGGGAGGGUCAAGCACCAAAGCUAAUUUCGGGCCCCCGUUGGUGCAAAAGCGUCGGGACCAUAAAGUGUCCCUGUUUCAGACACAUGAAUGUCACCUGGUAGCGGUCGCCUUGUAGUGUCGCCUGGUAGCAGCGGCCUGGUACGCAGCGUGUUUGUUUUUCUCCAAGAUUCAUGCGAUUUCUUUUCUUGUUUUGCGAGUGUGUGUCUGCUUAUUAUUCUUUGAAUUUUAUGGAAGUGUUGAGGUUUCUGAGUGUGUUUUUUCAGGUGUGCUUGUGUGUUGAAUGAUUUUUUCUCUUUGGUUUUCGUCCGUUUGGUGGUAAGGUGCUACUGUGCUGAGGUGACAGGUCCUGAUCGCAUCCCUUCGGACAAGACGUUUUCAUGCAGGGAGUCCUGCUUGAGUUUUGGGUGUUUUCCUAUCCGAUUUUUCUUUCAUUUUUUACUAUUUUUUGUAUGCUUUUUCGCUUUCUUGGUGGUUCUUGUAUGUUAUCCUGGUGCUUUGUUUUCCAGUUUUCGUGCACUGGAGUUUGGUGUGGGACCCAGGAAAUCAAAGGCUUUUCUUUACUUUUGUUAUGUUCUGCAUGAAAGAAGAAUUUAUAUAUAUCUUUACGUCCGGAAUGCAUGGUUUCUUGCAUAACUGGUUUAUGCGCCUUCUUUCCUGUUUUAAGAUUGUUCAGUUUGCACCGAUCUUUCACUUCUAAUUUUUCUGUUGUUUUUGUGAUUCUGUACCUCGGUGGGAGGGGCGGUUCUCUCAUAUAAGCUUCUGUUUUCUGACUUGCUGGGGUUUUCUGAUUCUGGGUUUGUUUCUUUUGCGUUUUCUUUAUCUUCGAUUAUCUUUGUUUUUGUAUCUCCUCUAGUGUUUUGUCUCUUAGGUUUUGCUGUCCUGCGUUUCUUCUCCUUUUUCUUGAGUCUUGGUUUCGCGUUUUCGGUCUGAGGACUCUGUUGUGUUGGAACUGUCGUGGGAUUGGGAAUCCUGCGACAGUUCGUGAACUGAAGCAACUCCUUAUUGCUAACAACCCGGAUAUUGUUUUUUUAUGUGAAACAAAAGUUAAGUCUCACAAUUUUUCUCGUAUUCGUACCUGUGUAGGAUGGAAGGAUGUCUUGCGGUGAGUGCGGAAGGGAAGAGUGGUGGCUUGGCGCUUUUGUGGAGGGAAGGGAUGAAGGUGAUGAUGCAAAACUACUCUAAAUACCACAUUGAUUCCUUGGUUUGUUUGGAUGAUGGGAUGCGACUGCGUUUCACUGGAUUUUAUGGCCAAGCUGAUCCGAAUAAUAGGAACCUUUCGUGGGAUAUGCUCAGGAGGGUGAAGGGUACUGUUAAUGAGGGUUGGAUCGUGGCGGGAGAUUUUAAUGCCAUUCUGAACAAUGCUGAGAAGGAAGGGGGACGGAAGAAGCCGCGUAGCUCUAUGAAGGAUUUUUGUAAGUUGAUUGAGGAGUUGGCGCUGGUUGAUGUUAAGACUACAAAUGGUUGGUUUACGUGGACCAAUAAUAGGGAGGGUCCUGACUUAGUUAAGGAGAGAUUAGAUAGAUUCCUUAUUUCUGAUAAUCUUGUUGGAAACAUGCCUUUUCUUACUACUAAGAUUGUACGUCAAUCCAAGUUUGACCAUGAGGCGAUCAUUAUGGACACUUUGGGUAGUAAGCCUAGGGAUUACAACAUUAACCCUAGGACGUGGUUUAGGUACGAUGCCUGUUGGAAUAAGGAGGCGGACGCCCGUGAUAUUAUUACCAGUAUCUGGUCUAAAAGUGAGAGUAACCUUCUGGAUAAGCUAGAGCUGAUUCGUAAGGAGCUUGGUCCGUGGCAACAUCAGCGCUAUAAAAGGUUGAAAAAGAAAAUUAGCGUUCUGGAGAAGAAUAUUAGUGAUAUCUUGGAUGGGUCAAACCGUGAGAAUACGAGUGGUUUGCUUAAAUCAGCUCGUAGUAAGUUGGGGUAUUUGUAUGAUGUGGAGGAGAGGUACUGGGCAGUACGUGCUCGUACUAAGUGGCUUAGGGAGGGUGAUAGGAACACUCGUUAUUUUCAUGUGAGAGCGUCAGGCCGACGGAUGAAGAAUAAUAUUGAUAAGCUGCAAGACGUGCAUGGCAUAUGGCAUGAUGAGGAUACUGAUAUUUGUGAUAUCGCGUGGAACUACUUUCACGACCUCUUUAAAUCCACUAUUAACCCGAAUGAUAAUUUUGAUCUUUCUUUUAUCCCUGCUUGUGUUACUGACGAUAUGAAUAGGAGGUUGAGUAGGGAGUUCACUGACAAGGAAAUUUUGAGGGCCUUCAAUCAGAUGGACCCUCGGAAGGCCCCUAGGAUUGAUGGGAUCUCGGGGAGUUUCUUCAAAGAUCAUUGGCAGACAGUGGGUUAAGAUGUAUUAAAGUUGUGCCAUGAUACUCUUAAGGGGAGAAAAAAUGUUAACUGUAUUAAUGAAACUUUUCUUAUAUUGAUUCCUAAGAUAAAAGAUCCGUGUAUUAUGGCUAACUUUCGUCCUAUAAGCCUUUGCAGGGUCAUUUAUAAGAUCAUUUCGAAAGUCCUGGCUAAUAGGCUUAAAGAGAUCCUACCCUACUAUAUUAGCCAUAAUUAGAGCGAUUUUGUGCCUGGCAGGAUGAUCCAUGGUAACGUGCUGAUCGCUCAUGAACUUGUGCACUACCUCUACAGCUCUAAAAAUGGACCAAACAAAGGAUGUGUGAUUAAGCUAGAUAUGAGCAAGGCUUAUGAUCGGGUGGAGUGGGUGUUCCUAGAAAAAGUGAUGCUAAAGCUUGGCUUCUCGAGGGAUUGGGUCGAGAAGGUUAUGUGUUGUGUGCGCACGGUUCGAUACAGAGUGAAGUGCAAUAUGAACCUCACUGAUGUUAUUGUCCUGGAAAGGGGGAUCCGUCAAGGGGAUCCGUUAUCUCCUUAUCUUUUUCUUUUUUGCAGGGAUGCUUUUUCUCGUUUAUUGAUUAAUGCACAGAGUACUAAUAAGCUUAAGGGCAUCCGUGCGAGUAAGGAUGGCCCUAGAAUUAACCACUUAUUCUUCGCUGACGAUGCGCUCUUGUUUGUUAGGAACAAUCGUAAUGAGGUGGAGACUUUCUUACGGAUCCUGAAUAUGUUUGAGAAGAUGUCGGGCCAAAGCAUUAAUUUAGAAAAGUCAAUGGUGUGCUUCAGUCCAAAUACGCAUUUAGCCCAGAGGAUGAAUACGAGUAGCUUGCUCAAGAUGAGGGUGGUUGUAAAGUUGGAUGGUUAUCUGGGGCUUCCUAUACCGGUCGGUAAAAAGAAGUCUGGGGCUUUCAAAGAUAUCCUGGACCGCACUGCAAAUAAGAUUAACAGUUGGUCAAAACGCUUGCUUUCUAAUGGUGGGAAGGAGAUUUUUGUCAAGUCGAUUCCCCAAUCAAUCCCUACAUAUGCCUGCUCUUUCUUCUUGGCCCCUAAAGGGGUGCUGGAGGAGCUUCAAGCUAUGAUGCGUCGUUUUUGGUGGGGGGCAUUGAACAGAACAGUGGCUGGAACAUGUUAGCUUGGGAACGUAUGUGGCAUCCCAAGGGUAUGGGAGGCAUCGAGUUUAGGGAUCUUUGGCUUUUUAAUGUGGCCCUUUUGGGCCGACAAGUUUGGCGUCUUAUUCACUGCAAGGACACUCUGUGCUACAAGGUGUUGAGUUCAAAAUACUUCCCAGAUGGGGAUGUUCUUCACCCGAAAAGGGUGGAUAAACCAUCUUUCACGUGGCAAAGUAUCGCCAAGGCAGCCAGGGUGCUGCAUGAGGGCUUCGGCUGGAAUGUUGGAAACGGGAGAUAUAUUAAUAUUUGGACUGACAAUUGGGGUUUUAAAGGACUGUCGGGUUCGUCCAUUCGUAUUGAGAGAAGGCUGGUCCCUGAGACUAAGGUGUGUGAGCUGCUGAAUGAUAGUAAGGAUGGGUGGAAUGAUAAGAGGAUCCUGGAGCUCUAUGGUGAGAGUUUAAGGGACCAGAUUUGUAAUGUGCCCAUUAUUCAUAAUAACUUCGAUGACUAGUGCAUGUGGUUCCACAACCCUAAUGGUAUUUUCUCCUCUAAAUCGGCUUACUCCUGGCUGAUCCUCAAGUAGGUUGGCUAUGGUCCACACAGAUUCUUCUGGAAGCUCAACACGCUCCCUAAAAUUUGUAUCUUUUACUGGAGACUGGGCCACGAGAUCCUUCCCACGUUUGACAAAAUUGCUAGCAUUCGUAGUGACUUCAACAAAUUAUGCCCGAGAUGUGGUAUUGAGAAGGAAACUCUCAUUCACGCGCUGAAGGACUGCCCAAAGGCUCGGGAGGUGCUGGUAUACGGGGGCCUGAACAACAAUCUCCUUGUGGGUAAAUAUUCUCGGUGUAUAGACUGGCUUGAAGAGGCGGCCCACGUCCUGGAUAAGAUUGCUAUGUCUGACCUUGUUACUGUACUUUGGAACAUCUAGAACAGUAGGAAUAAUUUGAUCUUUCGGGGAGUGGAGGAAGGGGCCAAAGUUACCUGGGAGAGAGCAGCGUCUUUAAGCCACGACUUUCGUAUUUUUAACUUGGUGGCGGCCCCUUUGUUGCCGAAACUGAGGUUGGAUAAAGUUUGGACGAAGCCGAAUCCGUGUACGAUCAAAAUUAACUUCGACGCUACUGUUACUGGCAAGUAUAUGUGUUUUGGAUUGGUGGCCAGGGACGCUGAUGGAUUCGUUCUCGGAGGAAGAAUGGGGAGAGUUAAUAAAGAAUUGAAAAUUGAAUAGGUUGAGAUGCAGGCGCUGGAUGAAAGCAUUAAUUCCGCUAGGACCAACGGAUGGGACAAGCUUGUUGUGGAAUCUGAUUGUGCGAAUUUGGUUAAUCGGUUCCACAAAAGAAGCUCUGAUUUGACUACGUUGGGCCAUUGUUUACGACUUUUUAACCUUUGUAAUUUUUCUUUUUUCAAUUUUCUUUGGGCCCCUAGAUGCUGUAAUAAAGUAGCGGAUCGGUUGUGUAAGCUGGUUAAGGAUAAUAAUUGUUGUACCAUGGAUUUUAGCGUGGACUAUCCCAAGGAGAUCCAUGAUUUAGUUUUAAGUGAUGCUAUAAAUUGAAGUUGACCCUUGGGUCGUUUUUAUCAAAAAAAAAGAAUGUCGCAUGGUAGUACAUUGACCAAGUUUUUUUAGCUCUUUAGGGGGAGGUGAUAUUGAGCGAACAGGAGUUGUCCAGGGCACUACCCACACCCAUCUCAUGCCCAGACGUUGGUGGCCCCCCUCUCGCCGGUUAGGUUCUCGGUGGUACUCCGACGAUCCAUUCGGGCGGUGGUCCAGCGAGCUUUCUCAACGGUGCUCCGGUGAGCCAUCCCGAAAUAUAGAAAACGAUGCUACAAGUCGUCCCGGCCCCUCCCCUUUCGAAUCAUCCCGGUCCCUCCCUUUUUGGAACAAGAGCCUCCGGCACCUUGGGCCCUUGGUCGCGCCGGAGCAUCAGGCACCAUUGGUAACCUAGGACGUCGAUAGUGCUGAAGCAUCCACACAUUGCUGCUAGGACUUGCUGGAGCCUUGGACGCACAACUAUGCAACCUAGGACGUCAGUGGUGCGAGAGCCUCGAGCAGCAUCGGCAACUUGGUGCCUUGGAUAUGCAGGAGCCUCGGACACCAUCGGCAACCUAGGCCCUUGGUCAUACGGGAGCCUCGGCCACCAUCGGCAACCUAGGCCCUUGGUCGUGCGGGAGCUUCGGGCACCAUCGGUAACCUAGGCCCUUGGUCAUGCGAGAGCCUCGGGCACCAUCGGCAACCUAGGCCCUUGGUAGUGCGGGAGCCUCGAACACCAUCGGUAACCUAGGCCCUUGGUAGUGCGGGAGCCUCGAGAACCAUCGACACCUAGGCCCUUGGUCGUGCGGGAGCCUCAGACACUGCCAGGGGUUAUCCAGGAUGUGGGCCUGCUCGUUUGAUUCUGAUUUCCAGUACGAAUACGAACCGUGAAAGCGUGGCCUAUCGAUCCUUUAGACCUUCGGAAUUUGAAGCUAAAGGUGUCAGAAAAGUUACCACAAGGAUAACUGGCUUGUGGCAGCCAAGCGUUCAUAGCGACGUUGCUUUUUGAUCCUUCGAUGUCGGCUCUUCCUAUCAUUGUGAAUCAAAAUUCACCAAGUGUUGGAUUGUUCACCCACCAAUAGGGAACGUGAGCUGGGUUUAGACCGUCGUGAGAUAGGUUAGUUUUACCCUACUGAUGGCCGCGUCGCAAUAGUAAUUCAACCUAGUACGAGAGGAACCGUUGAUUUGCACAAUUGGUUAUCGCACUUGGUUGAAAAGCCAGUGGCGCGAAGCUACCGUGCGCUGGAUUAUGACUGAACGCCUCUAAGUCAGAAUCUGGGCCAGAAGCGACGCACGCGCUCGUCGCUCGAUUGCCGACCCGCACUAGGGGCCUUUGGCCCCGAAGGGCAAGUGUUGUAGGUGGAGCGACCGCGGCAGACAAGUCGCGGAUGCCUCCUUGGAGCGUAAUUCCCACCGAGCGGCGGGUAGAAUCCUUUGCAGACGACUUAAAUACGCGACGGGGUAUUGUAAGUGGCAGAGUGGCCUUGCUGCCACGAUCCACUAAGAUUCAGCCCUUUUUCGCUUCGAUUCGUCUCUCCCCUCAUCUCCCUUUCGAUCCCCCAUUGUUCUUUUGCACGUCCCGACCUUGGGGUCCCCAAGUGGGGGACUUAGUGUAAGGAGUUAGUUAAACACUUGGCUUUGCCGCCCCCUCGAGAAAUAUGGCACAACGGAGGCCGUGGUGGUGCGGGUGCGAGCUCCCAACUGUUGGUGGUCUGGGCACUUGUUCAAUUUUCUGCCGUGCCGUGCCAUGCCAUGCCAUACUUCAUUUGGCUUCUUGUAUUUGUUCUUUUGUUUUGGGCCAACAGAAAAAAUUUUUAAGCUAAACACUUGGCCGUGCCGCCCCCUCAGGAAACAUGGCACAACGGGGGCCAUGGUCCAGUCACUUGUUCAAUUUUCUGCCAUGCCAUCAUGCCAUAUUUCAUUUGACUUCUUGUAUUUCUUUUGGGCCAACAGAAGAAAUUUUCAAUUAAAAAUACCAAGUGUAAGUGGCGUAAAAAAAAUUGCCCCUAUUUCAGGCAUGUACGGGAGCCUCAGGCAACAUCUGCAACGUAGGCCAUCUCGUGGUGCGGGUCAUUGGGCAACAUCGGCACCUUUGUGCCUCGGAUGUGCGGGAGCGUUGGGCUGAAAAAAGUGUCCCUGUUUCAGACAUCUGAAACCUGUCCCUGUUUUAGACACAUGAUUGUCAACUGGUAGCACAUUGACCAAAUUUUUUUAGCUCUUUAGUGGGGAAGUGAUAUUGAGCAGCCAGGGGUUAUCCAGGGCACUGCCCACGCCCAUCGCAUGCCCGGAUGUCGGUGCCCCCACCACCGGUUAGGUUCCCGGCGGUGCUCCGACGAUCCAUCCCAGCGAUGAUCCAGCGAUCCAUCUUGGGAUAUAAAAAACGGUGCAACGAGUCCCUCCCCAAUCCCAAAAGGUAGAAUUCAGAUACUGUUACAUGUUCGGUACCCAAUAAUGAAUGAACCGUCCCAAAGCUAGAAUUCAGAUACCGUUGCAUGUUCGGUACCCAACAAUGAAUGAAUCGUCCUUGUCCCUCCCCUUUUGCAAGAAGAGCUUCCGGCACCUUUGGCCCCCGGUCGUACGGUAGCCUCGUACACCAUCGGCAGCGUGUGCCAUCCCGUGGUGCGGGGCUAUCAGGGCACCACCGGCCCCUUCGAUGUGUCGGAGCAUCGGGCAGUAUCGACACCUUGAUGCAUCGGAUGUGCGGGAGGGUCGAGCACCAAAGCUAAUUUUGGGCCCCCGUUGGUGCAGAAGCGCUGGUACCAUAAAGUGUCUCUGUUUCAGACACAUGAAUGUUGCCUGGUAGCGUCGCCUGGUAGCGUGAUUUUUCUCCAAGAUUUGGGUGAUUUCUGUUCUUGUUUUUCGUGUGUGAGUCUGCCUUAUUCGGUUGAAUGUUUUGGCAGUUUGGGUUGGUUCUGAGUGUGUUUUGUUUGUUUAUGUGGAGUGUUUUUGAGUUUUGUUACCGUUUUGCUUUGAAUGGUUGCUGUUCGGUGUCUUUUCUUUGAUGCGAUAGGUUUCUGGCGGUGUUCCUGGUCUGACAAGAUGUUUCUUGCAGCGUUUUCGCUUCCUUGUUUACGGUGACUUUUGUCCGUUUUACUUUUCUUUGGUUUUAUGUUAUUUUUUAUUUGGUUUUGUAUUUGUGUUUAUUGAAUUUUGUGCUUGGUUGCUGGUUAGUGCGCUGGGGGCCCCACGGUGGUCGGAUUCUCUUCUUUCUUGCGCCUUUUCCACGUUCUUUCUUAUGCCUUUGCAUGAAAGUGGGUUUUCUUUAUUUCCCGACGUACAAAGUGCAUGGUUCAUGCAUGCAGGGUUCCACGUAUAUUGUGUCCUGUUUAAUGAUCUUUAUUAAGAUGAUCGCUUUCUUUUUUCCAGUGGUGUUUUUGUUAUUGCUCUUGCUGGAUUGUCGCCUUUUCCGUGGUGGUCUUUUGCUUGUUAUGAUGUCGAGAUAUCGCAUGGUUUCUCUCUGCUGAGGGUUCUCUUGUUGGUUCGUUUUUUUGUUCAGUUUUUUUCGAGUUUUUUGUAAAGCUUGGUUUCCCUGUUUCUUUCCUUUGUACAGGAUUGUUUCUUGAGGAGUGCCUCUCGUCUUUUCCUUUGGGAGCUGGGCUUUCGCUGGAGGGUGCCAUCUAUGCAUGUUUUAGGUUCUUUGGGCGGUGUUGUUGGUUUUCUUUGCUCGAGCGCUGAAUCCUUGGGUCGGUGGGCUGGCUUUCCGGCGAGUCCACCUUCUUUCCUUCUGGUUGGUCUUGGUUUCUUGGUUGUUCUUUGACGGAAGAUCGAAGAUCCUCACGGUCAAGUUUUGCGGGGUGAUAUAUCGUCUCUUUCCUUGACGCAUCGAGGGAGUCGAUAAGAAAUAAGCUUUAUCGCUGUCUUGGCGUGUUUAGCGCCUCAAUGGUAUAAGAUUCGUGGGGGUGAAAAUCCUAUGAAGAUCCUCUGCUGAAACUGUCGUGGGAUUGGUAACCCAGCGACAGUCCGUGAAUUAAAGCAAAUGCUCGUUGCUAAUGACCCUGAUAUAGUCUUCCUUUGUGAAACAAAAAUUAAUGCUAAUAAAUUCUCUUCUGUUCGUAGUAGGUGUAAAAUGGAAGGAUGCUUGGCUGUUAACGCGAACGGCAAAAGUGGUGGACUGGUUAUGAUGUGGAAGGAAAGUAAUAAGGUCGAAGUUCAAACAUAUUCUAGUAAUCACAUUGAUUCGAUAAUCAAGCUGGAGAAUGAUAAUCCCAUUCGGUUCACGGGAUUAUAUGGAAAUGCCGAACCAAACAAAAGACAAUGCUCGUAAAUGUGCUGAGAAGGGUGGGUCAGUCUGUUACGGAGAAAUGGAUCAUUGGGGGUGAUUUCAAUGCCAUUCUUGACAAUGCGGAAAAAGAGGGGGGUAGGAGAAAGCCAAGUGCUCUAAUGGAGGACUUUCGGGAGGUUGUCUAUGAGUUCUCAAUGGCUGAUUUGAAAACUGAUAAUGGUUGGUUUACCUGGGUUAAUAACAGGGAUGGUACAGCGUUGGUUAAGGAGAGAGUUGAUCGGUUUUUAAUGUCUGCUAAUGUUGUGGCGAGGUUCCCCUUUAUGGAAACCAAGGUGAUCCAUCAAUCUACUUCAGACCACGAUGCCAUCAUUUUAGAUACUGAAGGACGGAAGCCGAGAGAUAGAUAUAGAGAUCCUAGGCUUUGUUUUAAAUACGACAUUUGCUGGGCUAAAGAUGUGGAAGCAAAGAAAAUCAUCAAGGAAGCAUGGCAGAAAGGUUCCACGGAUAUAAUGGGAAAGAUCGAGAUGGUGGGUAAAAAGCUUGGUGGUUGGCAAUAUAAGAAGCUUAAACAAAUGCGUACCCAGAUGGGUACCCUGCAGGCAAAUAUAAACAAAGUCAUUGAUAGCCAGGGGGUACGUAUGCGAGUAAUAAGCUCAAAGCCUUGAGAAUAAAGCUGGGCAAGCUGUUAGAUGAAGAGGAGAAAUAUUGGGCCCAGCGCUCUAGGAUCCAAUGGUUAAAAGAAGGGGACAGGAAUACCCGAUUUUUUCAUGUGAGAGCCACAAUCAGAAGGAAAAAAAAUAACAUUGCUAGGCUUAUAGACAUGGAUGGUUACUGGAAAGAGAAAACGACGGAUAUCAGCAAGGCGAUCAGGGAGUAUUUUCAAAAGUUAUUUAAAUCCAAUUUAAAUUCUAAUACUUUGCUAAACCUUGAUUAUAUUGAGAGCUGUAUUACAGGUGAAGAGAAUGACAGAUUGCUGAAGGACUUUACGGAAAACGAAAUUAAGGAAGCGUUCAGUCAAAUGGAUCCUAGGAAAGCUCCAGGAAUUGACGGUUUGUCGGGGAAUUUUUUUAAAGAAAACUGGGAAGUGGUGGGGGAAGAUAUUAUUAAGCUGUGUCAUGAUAUUCUUAGGGGUGUUAAAAGUGUGGAUUGCAUAAAUGAUACUAUUAUUAUUCUUAUCCCUAAAAUUAAAGAGCCGGUGGAUAUGACUAAUUUUAGGCCGAUCAGUCUUUGUAGGGUGGUGUAUAAAAUCGUCGCCAAGGUGCUCGAAAAUCGCUUGAAGGAAACUCUCCCGUCAUGCAUUAGCUAAAAUCAGAGCGCUUUUGUUCCGGGGAGGAUGAUCCACGAUAACAUUUUAAUUGCCCAUGAAAAAAUGGGCCAAACAAGGGGUUUAUAAUUAAGCUUGAUAAGAGCAAAGCGUACAAUCAAGUGGAGUGGCAAUUUAUUGAAAAGGUGAUGAAAAAAUGGGCUACGCAAAUGAAUGGGUGUCUAAAAUAAUGAGAUGUGUUCGGUCGGUCCGUUAUGUUGUCAAAUGCAAUUCUACCCUAUCCGAGACGAUUACACCGGAAAGAGGCUUAAGACAGGGGGAUCCUCUCUCCUUACCUUUUUUUAUUUUGCAUGGAAGCGUUUUCAAAAAUGUUAAUUCGUGCUCAAAAAAAUAAUGUGCUUAAGGGAAUUCGUGCUAGCAUAAAUGGGCCUCGUAUUAAUCACCUUUUUUUUGCCGAUGAUGCACUCCUUUUUAUUCGUAAUAAAAAAAAGGAUGUGGAGGAAAUCGUGAAUAUUAUUUCAAACUUCAAUUGUGAUUCGGUUCAAGAGGUUAAUAAAGAUAAAUCUAUGAUUAUGUUUAGCCCGAAUACUCCGUUGGCCCAAAGACAACUAUUUAGCUCUAUGCUUGGCAUGCAUAUUGUUGAUAAGCUAGAUAGUUACUUAGGGUUACCGUUACCUGUUAGUAGGAAAAAAUCAUUAGCUUUUACUAACAUUCUUAAUCGUUGCAAUUGCAGAAUAAAUAGCUGGUCAAAACGUUUGUUAUCUUACGGAGGAAAGAGGUUUUUAUCAAAGCCAUUGUUCAAGCUAUUCCGACGUAUGCUUUCUCUGUUUUUCUGUCCCCUAAAGGUAUUAUCAAAGACCUUCAUUCAAAAAUGGGACGGAUGUGGUGGAAUAGUAAUGACAAAGCACGGUGGUGGGCUAUGAUGACGUGGAAAAAAUUGUGUUAUCCGAAGGGAAUGGGAGGCAUGGGCUUUCGAGAUUUACAUCUAUUCAAUUUGGCUCUUCUUGGCAGAUAGGUUUGGAGGCUUAUAACUCAACAGAAUACGUUAUGCUUUAAAGUGUUAAGUGCCAAGUAUUUCCCGGAUGGGGACGUGUUUAGAUACAAACAGAAUGAUAAACCAUCUUUCACUUGGAAGAGGAUAGCCAAGGCGGUUGAUGCGCUAAAAGACGGUUUUAUAUGGCACGUGGGCGAUGGAAAUAAGAUUGAUCUUAGACGGGACCAUUGGGGGGUUGAAGGCAUUAUAGGAGAGUCGGUGUGUCGGUCUCCUUUUGCUAAUAAUGAGAGAAAGGUCAAAGACUUGUGGGACCACGAAAACAAGAGGUGGAAACGGGAGAGGGUGAUUGAGAGUUAUGGUGAUACAUUGGGGGACUGCAUAUGCAAUUUGCCCAUUUCUCAUAAUGGCAUCAAAGAUACCAGGACGUGGAUUCAAAAUCUGCACGGCAUUUAUACUACCAAAUCGGCGUACUCCUGGAUGUUUCUUAAGAAAGUUGGUUUCGGUCCCUAGAGAUUUUUUUGCCGUUCCAUAUGGAAAUUGAAGAUGCUCCCAAAGAUUAAAAUUUUCAGCUGGAGAAUUGGUCACAAUAUCCUCCCAACUUUUAAUAAUAUUGCUCGUAUUCGCCAGGGGUUUAAUAAUACCUGCCCGAGAUGCCACAGCAGAGAAGAGUCGCUGGUUCAUGCGAUGAAAGACUGCUCCAAGGCUCGUGAAGACCUUGUAGCUGGAGGUUUAAAUAACAGAUUGCUGGAAGGGGAUUACAUUAACUGUAUCAAUUGGCUCGAAGAUGUGUUUCGUGAGCUCGAUCAUAAGGCUGCUGCUGACUUUUUAACCCUUCUCUGGAACAACUGGAAUGAUAGAAACAAUAUGGUUUUUAAUGGAAAGAUAGAUGCCGCAGUGCUGAUUUGGGAAAGGGCUCGUACUUUAAGUAAAGAUUUUAGAAUUUUUAACUUCACUGAACCUCCGGUCUUUUCCCCGAUUCAGACGAACGAGAGCUGGGAAAAGCCUCCAAAUGGCUAUAUCAAAGUGAAUGUUGACGCUGCGGUUUCGAAAGGAUGCAGUGGAUUUGGCGCAAUCGCUAAAGAGCAUGAUGGUUUUGUUCUGGGGGGACGCUAUAAAUUCAGGGAAGAAACUUUGGACGUUGGUUGGGCUGAGCUGGAGGCGUUUAAAGAAAGAAUAAAGUUAGCCGAAAAAUUAAAUUUGAACCAGCUAAUUCUGGAAUCUGACCGCGCUAUUUUGGUCAACAAGGUUAAUAAGCGGACGCAGGAUAUUACCAUCUUGGGCCAACGUAUUAAUCAAGAGUGCGAAGCCUUUAAAAAUUUUCAUGCGGUCCAAAUUAGUUGGAUAAAUCGUAAUAGAAAUGCCGUAGCUGAUUAUUUGGUAAAUUAGCUAUUACGAAUAAGUGUGAUGUGUAUUUUGAUAUGGAUUAUGCUUUGGAUAUCCAUAAUAUUAUUCUUAAAGAUGCAAUAAAAUGAGGUAGACCUUUGGGUCGUUUUUCUUUUCAAAAAAAAAGAAUGUCGCCUGGUAGCACAUUGACCAAGUUUUUUUAGCUCUUUAGGGGGAAGGUGAUAUUGAGCGAACAGGGGUUGUCCAGGGCACUGCCCACGCCCAUCUCAUGCCCAGACAUCGGUGCCCCUCCAUCGCCGGUUAGGUUCCCAGCGAUGCUCCGACGAUCCAUUCCGUGGUUGGUUCGGCAAGCUUUCCCGGCGGUGCCCUGGUGAGCCAUCCCGGAAUAUAGAAAAUGAUGCUACAAGUCGUCCCGGUCUCUCCCCUUUCGAAUCAUCUCGGUCCCUCCCCUUUUGGAACAAGAGCCUCCGGCACCUUAGGCCCUAGGUCGCGCCGGAGCAUCAGGCACCAUUGGUAACCUAGGACGUCGAUGGUGCCAGAGCAUCCGCACAUUACUGCUUGGACGUGCUGGAGCCUUGGACGCACAACUAGGCAACCUAGGACGUCGGUUGUGCGAGAGCCUCGAGCAGCAUCGGCACCUUGGUGCCUUGGAUAUGCAGGAGCCUCGGACACCAUCGGCAACCUAGACCCUUGGUCGUGCAGGAGCCUCGGGCACCAUCGGUAACCUAGGCCCUUGGUCGUGCGGGAGCCUCGGGCACCAUUGGCAACCUAGGCCCUUGGUCGUGCGAGAGCCUCGGUACCAUCGGUAACCUAUGCCCUUGGUCGUGCGAGAGCCUCGGACACCAUCAGCAACCUAGGCCCUUGGUCGUGCGGGAGCCUCGGGCACCAUCGGCACCUAGGCCCUUGGUCGUGCGGGAGCCUCAGACACCAUCGGCACCCUAGGCCCCUGGUCGUGCGGGAGCCUUGGACACCAUCGGCACCCUAGGCCCCUGGUCGUACGAGAGCCUCAAACACCAUUGGUAACCUAAGCCCCUGAUCGUGCGGGAGCCUCGGGACCAUCGGCACCUAGGCCCUUGGUCGUGCAGGAGCCUCGGCCACCAUCGACACCUUGGUGCUUGGAUGUGCGGGAGCCUCGGACACCAUCGGUAACCUAGGCCCCUGGUCAUGCGGGAGCCUCGGGCACCAUCAGCACCUUGGUACUUGGAUGUACGGAAGCCUCGUACACCAUCGGCAACCUAGGCCCUUGGUUGUGCCGGAGCCUCGGGCACCAUCGGUAACCUAGGCCCUUGGUCGUACGAGAGCCUCGGGCACCAUCGGCACCUUGGUGCCUCGGAUGUACGGGAGUCUCCAGCAGCAUUGGCACCUUGGUGCUUGGAUGUGCGGGAGCCUCGGACACCAUAGGCAACCUAGGACAUUGGAUGUGCGAGUGCCUCGAGCAGCAGGGGCACCCUGGUGCCUCGGAUGUGCGGCCUAAAGAAAAGUGUCCCCGUUUCAGAUAUAUGAAUGUUGCCUGGUAGCAGAUUGACGAAGUUUUUUUUAGCUCUUUAAGGGAUAGAGAUCCGUUGCCCCCCGAUGUGGCCCCCCCUUAGGACCCGAGGUGGGGUGCGUCCGCAGCCCCCACGGGGGUCGGAUAGUCCCGCAAUGACUCACCAAUGGUGGUGGGUCGAUCGCCGGUGCUAGUCGCUGGGGUGAUGAUUUUUCUGCCGGUCAAGCCCGUGCCCAUAGAAAUGUAGCCAACGAUUCCAGGACCAAGUUCCCUAUAUCGGGCAAAGAUCUCCUGGGGUGGCUUAUGCAUUGCUAUGGGCUCGAGCUUGGCUUGCCCAUUCUCCUCCGUCAUGUUAGGGACGCCUUCUGCCUCCCAAGUCGGCGACCCAUUGGCGCCUUGGCCUUGCCAAGCCCUUGCCUGCAUUCGAAGCUGCCCGUGACCCCAGUAUCAAGUCCCUUUGACGGUAACGGCUCACUGAGGAGCGUAAGUUAAGUUUGUAGGCUCGGUUUUGGCUCGACCAAGUCUCAGUGGGAUUUUGUCACUUGUAGUUCUCGUGCCAAGCGUUG
rnacentral:lncRNA from 1 species